rnacentral:rRNA from 1 species
AGGGCGCAUGGUGAAUGCCUAGGCACUAGAAGCCGAUGAAGGACGUGACGAACCACGAAAGGCUUCGGGGAGCAGUAAGUAAGCGAUGAUCCGGAGAUAUCCGAAUGGGGGAACCCAAUACCGCGAGGUAUUAUCAAGAGCUGUUAAGGCUGUUGAAGGAAGACGCAGUGAACUGAAACAUCUAAGUAGCUGCAGGAAGAGAAAGAAAAAUCGAUUUCCCAAGUAGCGGCGAGCGAACAGGAAAGAGCCCAAACCAGCUGGCUUGCCAGUUGGGGUAGUAGGACUGCAAUAAAGUACUUGAAGCGAUAGCAGAAUUAUCUGGAAAGAUAAGCCAGAGAGGGUGAGAGCCCCGUAAGCGAAAUUGCAGAGAGACUUAGCAGGAUCCUGAGUAGGUCGGGACACGAGGAAUCCCGAUUGAAACCGCGAGGACCAUCUCGCAAGGCUAAAUACUAACUAGUGACCGAUAGUGAACCAGUACCGUGAGGGAAAGGUGAAAAGAACCCCGGAAGGGGAGUGAAAGAGAACCUGAAACCGUGUGCCUACAAGUAGUCAAAGCACAUUAAAGUGUAAUGGCGUGCCUUUUGUAGAAUGAACCGGCGAGUUACGUUAUGGUGCAAGGUUAAGUCAGAAAAGACGGAGCCGGAGCGAAAGCGAGUCUGAAGAGGGCGAGAGAGUAUCAUGACGUAGACCCGAAACCAAGUGACCUACCCAUGACCAGGUUGAAGGCGUGGUAAAACACGCUGGAGGACCGAACCCACGUGAGUUAAAAAUCGCGGGGAUGAGUUGUGGGUAGCGGUGAAAUUCCAAACGAACUUGGAGAUAGCUGGUUCUCUCCGAAAUAGCUUUAGGGCUAGCCUCGUGUGAAUGAUAAUGGAGGUAGAGCGCUGUUUGGACUAGGGGCCCGUCAGGGGUUACUGAAUCCAGAUAAACUCCGAAUGCCAGAUAUCAAUGCACGGGAGUCAGACUGCGAGUGAUAAGAUCCGUAGUCGAAAGGGAAACAGCCCAGAUCACCAGUUAAGGUCCCCAAAUCUAUGCUAAGUGGAAAAGGAUGUGGAGUUGCGUAGACAACUAGGAUGUUGGCUUAGAAGCAGCCACCAUUUAAAGAGUGCGUAAUAGCUCACUAGUCGAGUGACGCUGCGCCGAAAAUGUACCGGGGCUAAGCAUAGUACCGAAACUGUGGAUGCAUAUCAAAGGAUAUGCGUGGUAGGAGAGCGUUCUAAGAGCGGCGAAGUUAGAUCGAGAGGACUAAUGGAGCGCUUAGAAGUGAGAAUGCCGGUAUGAGUAGCGAAAGAUAGGUGAGAAUCCUAUCCGCCGAAAGACUAAGGUUUCCUGGGGCAGGCUCGUCCGCCCAGGGUAAGUCGGGACCUAAGGUAAGGCCGAGAGGCGUAGCCGAUGGACAACAGGUAGAGAUUCCUGUACUGAAAUUGUUCGAUAAGAGCAAAGGAGGGACGCAGGAGGCUAAUGACGCAUGUAGCUGGAAAAACAUGUGCAAGCAGUAAGAAAAAAGAUGAGUCAAAUGCUUAUGUUUAGAUUUCAAGCUGUGACGCGGAGUGAAAUCAAAGUAGCGAAGGUCAUGAUGUCACACUGCCAAGAAAAGCUUCUAGCCAGAGCAAUUUUACCCGUACCGCAAACCGACACAGGUAGUCGAGUGGAGAACACUCAGGUGAGCGAGAGAACUCUCGUUAAGGAACUCGGCAAAAUGACCCCGUAACUUCGGGAGAAGGGGUGCUGAUGGUAAAAGAUCAGCCGCAGUGAAUAGGCCCAAACAACUGUUUAUCAAAAACACAGGUAUCUGCAAAAUCGUAAGAUGACGUAUAGGUGCUGACACCUGCCCGGUGCUGGAAGGUUAAGAGGAGAGCUUAGCGCAAGCGAAGGUUUGAAUUGAAGCCCCAGUAAACGGCGGCCGUAACUAUAACGGUCCUAAGGUAGCGAAAUUCCUUGUCGGGUAAGUUCCGACCUGCACGAAAGGUGUAAUGAUUUGGGCACUGUCUCAACGAGAGACUCGGUGAAAUUAUAAUACCCGUGAAGAUGCGGGUUACCCGCGACAGGACGGAAAGACCCCAUGGAGCUUUACUGUAGUUUGAUAUUGAGUAUUUGUUAAACAUGUACAGGAUAGGUAGGAGCCAGAGAAAGUAGGACGCUAGUCUUACUGGAGGCAAUGUUGGGAUACUACCCUUGUUUGAUGGAUCCUCUAACUCGCAGAGCUGAGCGUUCUGGAGGACAGUGUCAGGUGGGCAGUUUGACUGGGGCGGUCGCCUCCUAAAAUGUAACGGAGGCGCCCAAAGGUUCCCUCAGAAUGGUUGGAAAUCAUUCGCAGAGU